GAAAAAAAUCAAGGAAAAUAAAAGAGAAAUGGAAACUUACCUUAAUAUUGUUUGGGGAGACUUUAUGAGAGGAUUUGUGAUAAAGGGGCUAAGAAAGGAGAGAAGAGCCAUUGCUCUUGUGUGUGUGUGUGGCUGCCGUGACCUAGAGAGAGAGAGAGAGAGAGAGAGUGGCGUGUAGAGAUAGAGAGAGAGGAAGAAAGAAAGAAAGGAAGAAGGAAGAAGAAAGUGAAGAGGAACCCCCCUAGAGCUUGAACAAGGGUGUGGAGUUUGUGGUAUUGAUCUUUUGUGUUCUUGAUUCUACAAUCAAGAGAGGUAGCAAAUAGGAUUUCUCUAUGGCACGCGUGGUGACGUGAGGAGUUCUUCAUCAUGGGGUGUAUGGCGUGGGGCAAUCCUAUGGACGAUAAAACGAUCAACGUAGAACGCCAUUUAAAUUAUGUUUUGUUUUAAGGGACUUUUUUUCCUAAAUUAUCAGUGGGACUCUGUUAUUUAACUUAAUUGGUUUUUUUCUUGAACGUUGCAUAAAAACCUAUGUUUUAUUUUAAACUUAUGGCGCCAACUUGCAUGAUUUUAAAUAAGUCCCCCUGAGACUUUAAUAAUGGACGGUAUUCUUUUAUAAGCUAUGUUAUGCGAAA